rnacentral:rRNA from 1 species
AGAGUUUGAUCAUGGCUCAGAGUGAACGCUGGCGGCAUGCCUAACACAUGCAAGUCGAACGGUAACAGGCCCGCAAGGGUGCUGACGAGUGGCGGACGGGUGAGGAAUACAUCGGAAUCUGCCCGGUUGUGGGGGAUAACGUAGGGAAACUUACGCUAAUACCGCAUACGACCGAAAGGUGAAAGCGUGGGAUCCGCAAGGACCUCGCGCAGCCGGAUGAGCCGAUGUCGGAUUAGCUAGUUGGCGGGGUAAAGGCCCACCAAGGCGACGAUCCGUAGCUGGUCUGAGAGGAUGAUCAGCCACACUGGGACUGAGACACGGCCCAGACUCCUACGGGAGGCAGCAGUGGGGAAUAUUGGACAAUGGGGGCAACCCUGAUCCAGCAAUGCCGCGUGUGUGAAGAAGGCCUUCGGGUUGUAAAGCACUUUUUAUCCGGAACGAAACGCGCAGGGUGAAUAGCCUUUGCGAACUGACGGUACCGGAGGAAUAAGCACCGGCUAACUUCGUGCCAGCAGCCGCGGUAAUACGAAGGGUGCAAGCGUUACUCGGAAUUACUGGGCGUAAAGCGUGCGUAGGUGGUUUGUUAAGUCUGCUGUGAAAGCCCCGGGCUCAACCUGGGAAUGGCAGUGGAUACUGGCAAGCUAGAGUGCGGUAGAGGGUAGUGGAAUUCCCGGUGUAGCGGUGAAAUGCGUAGAGAUCGGGAGGAACACCAGUGGCGAAGGCGGCUACCUGGACCAGCACUGACACUGAGGCACGAAAGCGUGGGGAGCAAACAGGAUUAGAUACCCUAGUAGUCC